rnacentral:rRNA from 1 species
UUAGUAACACGUUGAUAACCUACCUAUAAGACUGGGAUAACUUCGGGAAACCGGAGCUAAUACCGGAUAAUAUUUUGAACCGCAUGGUUCAAAAGUAAAAGACGGUCUUGCUGUCACUUAUAGAUGGAUCCGCGCUGCAUUAGCUAGUUGGUAAGGUAACGGCUUACCAAGGCAACGAUGCAUAGCCUACCUGAGAGGGUGAUCGGCCACACUGGAACUGAGACACGGUCCAG